GCUCUUAUAGGGAAAGAAAAAUCUGCUGUGUUUUUGUCACCUGAGUUUGUCCUAGGACCAGGAUCGGUAGUGGACAGUUACUACCAAGAUAUAGACUUUCCAAGGGGUCACAUUGCUCUCAAGAGUUUCAAUGCUGAAGUGGUUGAUGAGACAGGGUUGCCUGUUCCCCUUCAGGAAAUUUAUCUCCACCACUGGGUUAUUGAAAGGUACUAUCAGCGUAAAGGUGUGGAGGCUCCUGGAUCCAGUUCCAUAAAGGAGACCCACAAUCCAGAUUUCAUAACUGUAAGGAACAGUGGAAUAUGUCAAGAUAAUGUUCUUGCACAGUAUUUUGGCCUUGGAUCUGAAACGCGAAAAACAGCCACACAUGUGCCAGACCCUUAUGGAAUAGAAAUUGGUAAUCCAGUGGAAAUUCCUGAUGGGUACGAGGAGAAAUGGUUGCUUAAUGUUCAUGCAAUUGACACUCGGGGUGUGGAAGACAGGUUGGGAUGCGCUGAAUGUAGGUGUGAUCUUUAUAAUGUUACAGAGGAUGGACACGGUUAUCCUUUGAGUUCAGACUAUAAGGGAGGCUUGAGAUGCUGCUAUGAUAAGACACAAUGCAGAGUAAAAGAAGGUUUUGAAGGCAUCAGGAGAAGCCUCUAUAUGAAAUAUACAGUGAAGUGGGUAGAUUGGGACAGCUCUGUUGUGCCAGU
rnacentral:lncRNA from 1 species